rnacentral:rRNA from 1 species
AGAUUGAACGCUAGCGGGAUGCUUUACACAUGCAAGUCGAACGGCAGCGCGGACUUCGGUCUGGCGGCGAGUGGCGAACGGGUGAGUAAUAUAUCGGAACGUGCCCAGUAGCGGGGGGAUAACUACGCGAAAGCGUGGCUAAUACCGCAUACGCCCUACGGGGGAAAGGGGGGGAUCGCAAGACCUCUCACUAUUGGAGCGGCCGAUAUCAGAUUAGCUAGUUGGUGAGGUAAAGGCUCACCAAGGCGACGAUCUGUAGCUGGUUUGAGAGGACGACCAGCCACACUGGGACUGAGACACGGCCCAGACUCCUACGGGAGGCAGCAGUGGGAAUUUUGGACAAUGGGGGAAACCCUGAUCCAGCCAUCCCGCGUGUGCGAUGAAGGCCUUCGGUUGUAAAGCACUUUUGGCAGGAAGAAACGGCGUGCCCUAAUACGGACGUCGACUGGCGGUACCUGCAGAAUAAGCACCGGCUAACUACGUGCCAGCAGCCGACGGUAAU